UGGGGAAUAUUGGGCAAUGGGCGAAAGCCUGACCCAGCGACGCCGCGUGAGGGAAGAAGGUCUUCGGAUUGUAAACCUCUGUUGUAAGGGACGAAACAAAUGACGGUACCUUACGAGGAAGCCACGGCUAACUACGUGCCAGCAGCCGCGGUAAUACGUAGGUGGCAAGCGUUAUCCGGAUUUACUGGGUGUAAAGGGUGUGUAGGCGGAGAGGCAAGUCAGAUGUGAAAUUUACGGGCUCAACCUGUGAACUGCGUCUGAAACUGUUUCCCUUGAGUGUCGGAGAGGUAAUUGGAAUUCCAUGUGUAGCGGUGAAAUGCGUAGAUAUAUGGAGGAACACCGGUGGCGAAGGCGGAUUACUGGACGACAACUGACGCUGAGACACGAAAGUGUGGGGAGCAAACAGG
rnacentral:rRNA from 2 species